GACAGAGGGUGCAAACGUUGCUCGGAAUCACUGGGCGUAAAGGGCGUGUAGGCGGGAAGGAAAGUCAGAUGUGAAAUCCCCAGGCUCAACCUGGGAACUGCAUUUGAAACUCCCUUUCUUGAGUACCGGAGAGGAAAGUGGAAUUCCUGGUGUAGAGGUGAAAUUCGUAGAUAUCGAGAGGAACACCAGUGGCGAAGGCGAGUCUCUAGACAACUCCUGACACUGAGGCACGAAAGCUAGGGGAGCAAACAGG
rnacentral:rRNA from 1 species